GCACAAGCGGCGGAGCAUGCGGAUUAAUUCGAUGCAACGCGAAGAACCUUACCAAGGCUUGACAUACACCGGUAACGCCCAGAGAUGGGUGCCCCUUUGUGGUCGGUGGACAGGUGGUGCAUGGUUGUCGUCAGCUCGUGUCGUGAGAUGUUGGGUUAAGUCCCGCAACGAGCGCAACCCUCGUCCUAUGUUGCCAGCGGGUCAUGCCGGGGACUCAUGGGAGACUGCCGGGGUCAACUCGGAGGAAGGUGGGGAUGACGUCAAAUCAUCAUGCCCCUUAUGUCUUGGGCUUCACGCAUGCUACAAUGGCCGGUACAAAGGGCUGCGAUACCGCGAGGUGGAGCGAAUCCCAGAAAGCCGGUCUCAGUUCGGAUUGGGGUCUGCAACUCGACCCCAUGAAGUCGGAGUCGCUAGUAAUCGCGGAUCAGCACGCCGCGGUGAAUACGUUCCCGGGCCUU
rnacentral:rRNA from 1 species